rnacentral:rRNA from 1 species
GACGAACGCUGGCGGCGUGCCUAACACAUGCAAGUCGAACGAAGUGGCGAACGGGUGAGUAACGCGUAAUCAACCUGCCCAUCAGAGGGGGACAACAGUAGGAAACGACUGCUAAUACCCCACACUGAAGGAGGGGAUUGCGUCUGUUUAGCUAGUUGGAGGGGUAACGGCCCACCAAGGCGAUGAUCAGUAGCCGGGCUGGGAGGAUGACCGGCCACAUUGGGACUGAGACACGGCCCAGACUCCUACGGGAGGCAGCAGUGGGGAAUCUUCCGCAAUGGACGAAAGUCUGACGGAGCAACGCCGCGUGAGUGAUGACGGCCUUCGGGUUGUAAAGCUCUGUUAAUCGGGACGCGGUACCGGAAUAGAAAGCCACGGCUAACUACGUGCCAGCAGCCGCGGUAAUUC